CGUCGUUACUAUUAACCGGCACGGGCGUCGAGGAAACUCAACGCCCGUGCAGUUAUGUUAAGGGCAGGAUAGAGAAU
rfam:Hafnia alvei FB1, complete genome.